AGUGUCUCGGCCCUCCAUGGCACCAGUUUGACACCCCUGCUCUAAGACAACAGACACAUACUAGUGUGACCUUGAACCUCUGCUACUCUAAUCAUCUUGCAAGAUUGGACUUAUUAUUCAAUAUAAAUCAUGUUCUUGCAUGGAUUAUCGGACAAGAAUCAUCUUUUAAUAAUAUUGAUUUAAAAGUGUAACCAUUAAGCUAGCUUUGAUGUUCAUUUGGCCACAGUAAAACAUUUUUACUUUUAUCACAAGUAGGCAACAAAAAAGUCUAACCAAUCUCUGGUGUAUUUUGGUGAUGAUCUGGAUAAAGGUGCAAACAGAGUAGUUUAUUUCAGUUUUUUUAAUCAUCUUCCAUGACUCAUUUUCAGUACAAACAUACUGCUAUAUAAGCUGCACAUAAACUACUCUAAAGGAGAACCGAGUUCACGUCCUAUAGCUUUGUCCCUUGAGAAGAUAUAACUUACUGAAAUGCGUGAGGUGAACUGACUUUUGUGAGCUCACCUGUGUUCCCCCUGAAGUUAUCCCUGAUGUGCAGGUCUUUGCGCGAGGUGUCGAGCUCCAGCAGGUCCCGCAGCUCCUCCUUGUACAGCUCCAAGUAGGACAGACGCACCGUGGCAUCCAUUCCAUCGCUGCUGCUCUGCUUCUUCUUGUCCAGCAGUGAGAAGACAUCCUUGGCAAAGCAGGAGAUGAUGCCUCCGUCUGCAUCUGAGACACAUCAAACUUUAAACCGUGACUUAUGUCAAAUUGAUAUGUAUUGACCAUAAUCAUCAGUAGCCAGGAAUGAAUUAUUCCACAAUUCCAUCCACUUAACUCACCCAUCUUAUUCCCUCCCAGCGUGUAUGUUUUCCCAGACCCGGUUUGUCCAUAACAGAACACGGUGGCAUUGGUUCCGUCCAGCAGUCCCCUUGUAAGCGGCCGAACGCAGGACUCGUACACUUCAUGCUGGCUGGAGCUCGGUCCAAAGGCGUGGUCGAAGGAGAAGAGCUGGUCGGAACCGAGUAUCACCUGAGGGGCCCCGGGAAUUACCCGCAGACACUCCCGGUGGGCGUGUAGUAGCUCCCUGGGGAGCAGUGGACGCAACCGAACCGCCACACGGAUACGAACCUCCGCCAUGAUAAUCAAAAUUAAACGCAGUAUAGGAGUUGUCAUUUAUUGUUGACGUUUCGGCGUCCGGCUAGAGUAGCCUGGUUGCCAUGGAAACAGACUCCAUAGUCAACAAGUUACCGCGUUACCGGAAAAGGAGUCAAAAAAAGGAAGUAAAGGACUUCACAGCGCCCCCAUGUGGGUCCUCCACGACAAGCACCCAACUUUACAAUGACAAAAGCAAAAACUCGGCGUCUCCUUCUGUAGACAAGCCUAAUGACAAUUUUAUUAUAGACUGUAUACUGUGUAUGUAUAUAUAUAUAUAUAUAUAUAUGUGUGUGUGUGUGUAUGUAUGUAUGUAUUAUGUAUAUAAUGUUAAAGAGGCCCAACAAAUUACACAAAGAAGUAGAAAAUGUGAUAAUGUUAAACUAUGACAAAGAUGAAAUGGUUAGUAUAGCCAAGUAUAGGAGUUAUAUUAAGUGUAGGUAAUAAAGACUUUUUUAUCAACA